rnacentral:tRNA from 1 species
AGCUCAAUUGGUUAGAGUCCCAGAUUGUGAUUCUGGAUGUUGCCGGUUCGAGUCCGGUC